ACGCACACACACACACACACACACAAAUCAUUUCAGAUAAGUGCUCUGUGUGACACGUCGCUCCCUGUAAGGUUGGCGCACGCUCAAUGGGACACAUACAGAAUCUCUUACAUGCACAAAAACAAUAACACACUUCCCUAAAAUGCAGAAUAAGGCCUGUUUAAAUUCAAAUACCCCCCGUGUUCCUCCUCCUGAUCUCUCACCUGGUAGUUGUCGGUGGCGUCUCCCAGCAGCCCUCCGAAGGUGAUGGCGUUGGUGAUGCAGCCCAGGUAGAUGAAGAGCACGGCGGAGAUGGACUGGAUGUGGAAACCCUCGUAGAUAUCGCUCGGCAGAAACGGCAACUUCCUCUUAAUGUCCAGGGAAACUCUAUGAAUGUGUUCGAUGGAGCAGCUGUUUCUUACCUGGUGGGAACGGGGACCUCGGUGAGACCUCCGAGCGUCGUAGCCUGGGCCAAACGCACGAACGCUACGAAGGGUUUGUCCAGGAAAUCUACUUCACCCACCAAGACGUUGGAGGCCUCGGCGUCUCGUGGGAUUUUCUUCAUGAAUUUGUUCUUCAGCUGCAGGAAAAGAUGAUUCUAGACGAUUCCAAAAGCUGCAGACGUAUGAAACUCACUGUUGGAAGAGCUGGACUUCCCGAUGUCGGCGAGCGAGCGAUGGAUCGGCUUCUUGGUUUGAUGGCGAUGUUUCCUGAGCAGGACAAAGGUGAUCCUGUCCCUCAGGUCCGGAGAUAUCAUGCCUUCCUCGAUCUGUCUCUCAAGGAUUUCGUCUGGAAACAGGAACAGGACAUUUGACGUAAAAUUGGGAACGGACUCCUGAAUUUGGGUAACAGACAGACUGCUGCUAACUGUAGAAACAAUCCGACGGGGAAUUAAAUAACAAAUAGAAACACAAACAAAGAUCAUCAUCCUCCAAAUACUGAAAUUUGAAUAAUAAUUCAGAUUUCUGGGAAAUAGUGCAUUCAAUAUUUUGCUUAUUUUGGACAUUUUUUAACAGAAAUAACAGCUCAAUUAUUUCAGAUUUUACGAUACUUAGAGAAAUCAGACAAGGUCCUAUGGGUGUAUUUACUUUAGAGAGCCCCAGCAUGAUGGGAAAUCAAACUGAAAAGAGGUCAAACAUCUUAAUCUGAAUACCCCAAAGGACAGCUAAAGGCAACAGGACCGACUUCAGAGCCCAUACAUUCAACAUGUAGCCAUGCAGUGGGAAAUUGAGGAUAACUCCACUGGGAUACUGGGAAAACUAAAUGUCGUCAUUGAUUUUUUUCCUAUACAUCAUAUCAUUGAUUUGGUGACGGGUCCAUACUGACGCAUCAGCAGCUUCCGCUUUGACGAGUGGUAUCAGAUAAGUGAAAAAACAUGAGUUGGGAGAGAGAGUCACGCUGCUUCAAUAACUCACCAAUGGGAAAGCAUACGCUGCUACGGGACGAAGGGGAAAUAGCUCAUUUGGUUUAGCCAACUAAAGCUACCAAGCAAAGACACCGGGAUGCUACUUUCUCUCGACUUAAUGUCCCGAUAAGUUCUGUCGCUGAGAGGCGAGAACGUGGCUCAUCACUCUGACGCUCUGCAAGAAGAGUCCGUGCUGAAGCUGUGGCUGAUCGUGGUGUUAAAUAAUAAAGUGUGGUGUAUUCAAUCUGGAGAUAUAUCAGGGCAGAUACUCCCUGAGGCCAGAGGAAGGUUGGGUGGAAGAAGAGGGAAAAACAACAUCUGGAAUACGUUAAAGAUGCCCUAGGUCACCGAGUGGGGCGUACAAAGUUAGGGCCUAGGUGGUAUAGUAAAUCAGUUCAGAUACAGUUGUUUACUCUCUGAGGUCAUAGAGGGUGCAGAGAGUGAUGUGGUACAACAGGAGGUUGUAUAACAAACCUCUGGACUACGUCAGAAGAACCUCCAGGGAUGAGCAAGGCAAAGACUAACGUAUAGAUCACCUUAUGUGGGUACCCGCAAGACAUGGUGUACGAACGUAUAGCGCACCUUAUGUGGGUACACAUCCUCAUGGAACAUCCAGACACACACACACACACACACACACACCCAUAUUUCUCCUAUAAAGUGUAUGUACAAAGACUGUUCGGGGGACUUCCACAAUUGGCUCUGGGAACCCCGCAUCGCCCGUGUUGGUGUCUGAUACUAUGCUGUUGUAAUAAACCUUAUUAUAUACAAGCUGGUGUCUCCGGAGACUUCUUCAUCAUCUUC